UACAGAGGUCUCAAGCGUUGUUCGGAUUCAUUGGGCGUAAAGGGUGCGUAGGUGGCGCCGUAAGUCGGGUGUGAAAUUUCGGAGCUCAACUCCGAAACUGCAUUCGAUACUGCGGUGCUUGAGGACUGGAGAGGAGACUGGAAUUCAUGGUGUAGCAGUGAAAUGCGUAGAGAUCAUGAGGAAGACCAGUGGCGAAGGCGGGUCUCUGGACAGUUCCUGACACUGAGGCACGAAGGCCAGGGGAGCAGACGGG
rnacentral:rRNA from 1 species